UGGGGAAUAUUGGACAAUGGGCGAAAGCCUGAUCCAGCCAUGCCGCGUGUGUGAAGAAGGUCUUCGGAUUGUAAAGCACUUUAAGUUGGGAGGAAGGGCAGUAAGUUAAUACCUUGCUGUUUUGACGUUACCGACAGAAUAAGAACCGGCUAACUCUGUGCCAGCAGCCGCGGUAAUACAGAGGGGGCAAGCGUUAAUCGGAAUUACUGGGCGUAAAGCGCGCGUAGGUGGUUUGUUAAGUUGGAUGUGAAAGCCCCGGGCUCAACCUGGGAACUGCAUCCAAAACUGGCAAGCUAGAGUACGGUAGAGGGUGGUGGAAUUUCCUGUGUAGCGGUGAAAUGCGUAGAUAUAGGAAGGAACACCAGUGGCGAAGGCGACCACCUGGACUGAUACUGACACUGAGGUGCGAAAGCGUGGGGAGCAAACA
rnacentral:rRNA from 1 species